UAUUCUAGGGCAUAAUCUCUUUGGUGAGAGUGAUUUUUCCUUCUUUUAGAUCUUAUCUAGAUAUCUUAAAACUCAAGUGAGGAUUCUUCGUGACACUUUCUUGAAGAUGAAGAUUCUACUUUAAAUGAUGUGUAAUUUUUCUAUUUCAUAAGUCCUCUCCAACAUUUGUAUUUGAAUUUUUCUACUGCUUGUUCUUGUAUUGUUGUUCUUAUGUUCUUGUCUUUCGUAUAGCUCAUGCCUAAUCCAAUUCAUAAUUCGUUCCAUAUUAUGUUUUUCAUGUCUUAGUUCCAUUCUUAUCUUCUUGUCUUGUUCUUAAUUCAUAUACAUUGUUCAUGUGUUGAUGUAAUCAUUGAUUCAAAUCUCUCAUAGGUUCAAUUCAUGACUUAACUCGAGGAUGGGAUUCUAAUUGGUGAUCUAGAUUUCUUGCUAUUAUAUGUUUGUUUAAGCUUCCAAUACCCACAAGUACUCUCAAUUUCCGAAACACUUCCAACAUGAAUCCAUCAGUCUGGAGUCAUUCAUGUUUAACGGAGUCCAAGGUGUACUUAACAGGGCCUUAGCUGGUCUAUAUAGCUUAUUGAUUUUAGCUUAUAGGUUUGUAGCUUGUUUUUUUUCAUUUUUAUUCUUACUAAUUUCAUACAGUUCCUUUACCCUCUAUUUUCAUAAUCAUUUUUAUGUUACCUACUGUAACUAUUUUAACUUUUAAUAAAAAC
rnacentral:lncRNA from 1 species